rnacentral:rRNA from 1 species
GAUGAACGCUGGCGGCGUGCCUAAUACAUGCAAGUCGAGCGAACGGACGAGAAGCUUGCUUCUCUGAUGUUAGCGGCGGACGGGUGGGUAACACGUGGAUAACCUACCUAUAAGACUGGGAUAACUUCGGGAAACCGGAGCUAAUACCGGAUAAUAUUUUGAACCGCAUGGUUCAAAAGUGAAAGACGGUCUUGCUGUCACUGAUAGAUGGAUCCGCGCUGCAUUAGCUAGUUGGUAAGGUAACGGCUUACCAAGGCAACGAUGCAUAGCCGACCUGAGAGGGUGAUCGGCCACACUGGAACUGAGACACGGUCCAGACUCCGACGGGAGGCAGCAGUAGGGAAUCUUCCGCGAUGGGCGAAAGCCUGACGGAGCAAAGCCGCGUGAGUGAUGAAGGUCUUCGGAUCGUAAAACUCUGUUAUUAGGGAAGAACAUAUGUGUAAGUAACUGUGCACAUCUUGACGGUACCUAAUCAGAAAGCCACGGCUAACUACGUG